rnacentral:rRNA from 1 species
AGUGAACGCUGGCGGCGUGCUUAACACAUGCAAGUCGAACGAGAACGGGUUAUAGCUUGCUAUAAUUGUCAGCUAAGUGGCGCACGGGUGAGUAAUGUAUAGGUAAUAUGCCUCUUACUAAGGGAUAACAAAUGGAAACGUUUGCUAAUACCUUAUACUCCUUAUUAACAGAAGUUAAUAAGGGAAAGAUUUAUUGGUAAGAGAUUAGCCUGUAUUGUAUCAGUUAGUUGGUGGGGUAAUGGCUUACCAAGACUAUGACACAUAACUGGUUUGAGAGGAUGAUCAGUAACACUGGAACUGAGACACGGUCCAGACUCCUACGGGAGGCAGCAGUGGGGAAUAUUGCACAAUGGACGAAAGUCUGAUGCAGCAACGCCGCGUGGAGGAUGACACAUUUCGGUACGUAAACUCCUUUUAUAUGAGAAGAUAAUGACGGUAUUAUAUGAAUAAGCACCGGCUAACUCCGUGCCAGCCGCCGCCGUAA